GCCCGGUUAGCAUAAAAGUAAUGCAACCGUUUUGUAAUCGGUUUAAGUAAGUGCGAUACUUGCACUGGGCU
rfam:Microsporum canis CBS 113480 supercont1.17 mitochondrial scaffold, whole genome shotgun sequence.